rnacentral:rRNA from 1 species
GAACUGAGACACGGUCCAGACUCCUACGGGAGGCAGCAGUCGGGAAUUUUGGGCAAUGGGCGCAAGCCUGACCCAGCAACGCCGCGUGAAGGAUGAAAUCCCUCGGGAUGUAAACUUCGCAAGAACAGGAAGAAUAAGUGGGGGACAAUACCCCCCAUGAUGACGGUACUGUUUGUAAGCUCCGGCUAACUCCGUGCCAGCAGCCGCGGUAAUACGGGGGGAGCAAGCGUUGUUCGGAUUUACUGGGCGUAAAGGGCGCGUAGGCGGUCGUGACAAGUCACUUGUGAAAUCUCCGGGCUUAACUCGGAAAGGUCAAGUGAUACUGUCGGACUAGAGUGCAGAAGGGGCAGCUGGAAUUCUCGGUGUAGCGGUGAAAUGGGUAGAUAUCGAGAGGAACACCUGCGGCGAAGGCGGGUUGCUGGGCUGACACUGACGCUGAGGCGCGAAAGCCAGGGGAGUGAACGGGAUUAGAUACCCCGGUAGUCCUGGCCUUAAACGAUGAAUGCUUGGUGUCUCGGGUUACAUAGUCCCGGGGUGCCGUCGCUAACGCUUUUAGCAUUCCGCCUGGGGAGUACGGUCGCAAGACUGAAACUCAAAGGAAUUGACGG